AUUUCAUUUUGAUCCUCUUUCUUUGCAAGGUUCUAAUGGAAUUGAUGAUAUGGAUUUUGGAGAUCUUCUUUAGGUUCCUAUUUCAUGACAAGAAGAAGAUGGUCCAUCUUCUUUUGGCCUGAAUAUGUUCAGCUUGAAGAAAUUUGUGAAAAACACUGCAAAAUGGUGUUCUUUUGUGUAGAACCUGCAGCUCUAGUACUAUAUUUUGUUGGAGGUUAUUAUGGUUAUUUGUAUCAUAACUACUGUUUGUAUUCUGGUUGAUUUUGGUUGAAUUCUGGUUGAAAACGGAGUAUUUUUACAGGUUUCUAUCCAGUCUGAAUAUGUUCUGUUCUAUUCUGCUGUUUACAUUCAAUUAACUGUCCAUAGAUGCACUUGUCGCUGCAGCUAGGCUGUUUGCUCCCGAAUGGGCCUUCCUUGUCGCUUAUGUGGGCUGGCCUGGCUGAACUGUGUUGUGUGAGGGAAGGAAACAUGAAACAGAGCAGGGGACACACGAUGGAAAAGAAACGGCAUCCAGCUGCCUCAAGGCUGCCUCUGACUUGCUAUAAGCAAGUUAGAGAAUCUGCGCCGGGCGCCCCCUGGCAGCCUCCCUUAUUUAGGUAGGCUUUUGUCCCCCUGAUCCAGAUUUGGAAAGUAGGAAGGCCCACGCUUUCCUCCCGCGCCCACGCUUUCCUUCAGCUCCCCCAUCACACACUUGAUCAACGCCCGUCCUCAAAUGGGAGGUGUGGCUCCCCUGACGUACCCCUAGACCCAACCUUUCCCUCUCCUCACCUACCCCACCUCCACGCCCUUCUUCUUCUUCUUCUUCUUCUUCUUCUCCUCCUCCUCCUCCAAAAUCGAAAGGACCCUGCAAUGGCUGCCCCAUUGAAGCUUAAAAACUGGAAAAAGAAUCUACCAAUAUACAGACAAAGGAAGAAGAGAUAGGUGUGAUUUUCUCACCUUGUUUGUCCAAAUCUAAUUGCACCUUCUACCUCCCAGUGUUCUCCCUCGUUUUUCCCAGAUCCAUGAGCAACUAGUAUGGUUGUUGUGCUGCACCUAUUGCAAAAAAGAAAAAGAAAACAGAAAGUGAACAACUAUAGUGGAUUUUGCAAGCAAAUCAGAUAUUGACACUUGACAGCAAGCAACUCUUGGCAGGACAUGAACCAGAAACGUCUGUUUUUCAUUUUUUUUAAAGCAAGUACUAGCUGUUGUGUUUUUAGGUUGCUAUUGGACUAGAAAAAAGUGUAUUGAAAAAAAAAAGAGCAGCAACUUCUAGGCUUUGUUUUAAGCAAAAAUAGAGCUAAGAGCAAGCAACUCAUGUGUGCUCAUGCAUGCUAUAACUAAAAAGAUGUGGAAAAAGUGUGGGCAACUACUAUGGCACUUUUAAGCAAAUAAAAAAGGGUAAAAAAGGGUAAGCAACUCAUGUAUCUCUUCUUCUGAAUUUAGUUUGCUUUGUACAAUGUAUGUGGUAAAAUUUUAAAAGAAAAGCAGCAAACACCUAGGUGGGUUGUUUUAAGCAACUCCAGUUCUGCCAUUAAGCAACUUCGUGCCCGUGCACGCUGGUAGUGAACAACUGAUUUCCUAUCACUGAUAUACUAGGCUCUUAUCCAGUUUUACGGCCAUCACUGAAAAGAAAUGUAGGCAACUACCGAGGUUUUCUUAAGCAAGUCUAGUGCAAUAAGUAAUCACACACAAUUGAUUUCUCUCUAGGUAGUAAGAACUAAUUCCAGGUGAAGGGUAUGAAGAUUAACUGGAGAGUAGCUGGUGGGGGUUCCUUACUUGGGCACUACUUGGAUAGCUUUGAGAUUUUCUAUGUGGGUCCUACAAAAAAAGAAAAACACAAAGGGGUUCGCCAUGGUUUCCGUCACAAAGAAAGCUACCAUGGUCCUGUAUGUGUCUUGCUAGAAAACUGUGGGAGGCUUGCUAGAGUUUUAUGUGUGACUUGCCUGUUGUUUAGACCAAAAAGUGUGAGCUUUCUGUUUCCACAUGCACAAAUAUUCUGCCGCCCAAUCCCGCUUCCCAUCCCCCUAAAAUGUGUGCCUAAGAUGUCAAUUAAAAUUGUGAGCUUUUCUCUACUUUUUUCUAUAUUUGAUUGACUUCAGUUUCUUUAAGUUGCUUGAUUUGUGAAUACAAAUUGCCUAGUCUAGCUGUGUGGAGUUGCCUAACCUUGCUGUGUGUAUGUUUUCUGAACUAUCAGAAUAGUGUGAAAGAACUAGUAUUUGAAUUAAGUUGCUUGAUCUGUGUGUAUCAAUUGCCUGGUCUAGAAGUGUGGAGUUGCCUAACCCUUGAUAUCAUGUUCAAUAAAGAUGGAGCCCCCUUGUAGUAAACACUAUAUCAUUGAUUAUAUAAAUGAAAAAAUGGCAAGUUUUGUAUCAUUUUAAGGCAACUAAGAAGCAAUGAUUGGGCGAGUUGAAAAAUGGACAAACACACAGAAAAGGCCAUACUCCAUGAUAGAACAGAAAUCUGGCUACUGUUUCGUUUCACAGAACAGGAACUAGACCCUCUCACAUCUAGCAACAUUAAUGCUUGUUCAAUACCUCUGAAUUAUUAUAUCUAUAUGUUUGUACAUUACUGUUCUCCUUACCACUCAUCCCAUCCCAUAAUAUAAGAGGUUUUCUAAAGCUAAUAUAGCUUGCAAAAACGUCUUAUACUAUGGGACGGAGGGAGUAUGUGUUUUAGUGCGCGCUAAUUUUACUGUCAUCACUGAAAAAGACUAUAGGCAAGUACUGAGGUUUUUAGGCAUGUAUAUACUUCCUGCGUCCGCGAAUAAGUGUACAUCUAGCUUUUGUCCUAAGUCAAAGUUUUAAAACUUUGACUAAUUUUAUAGGAAAAAGUAGUAGCAUUUAUGACACCAUAUUAGUAUCACUAGAAUCAUUUUGAAAUGUAUUUUCAUAAUAUACCAAUUUGAUAUCAUAAUAUACUACUACUCUUUUCUAAAAAGUUGGUCAAAAUUAUAAAACUUUAACUUUAGAAUAAAUGGUAGAAGUACACUUAUUCGCGGACGGAGGGAGUGCUUCCCAUAUCUUGGGCAAGUCUAUCAUCAGAUCUUAGGCAAGUCUAUCAUCAGAGUAUAUGAUGAAAAGCGUCUGUAACGCGUAUCUGAUAUAGAAACAGUCAUUCAUCUAAGUAUAUAAUGAAAAGAGUCGGCAAGUUUGCAUCAUUUUGAGGCAACUAGAAGGCAAUGGUUAGGCAAGUUAAAAAAAAUCAUCAUCAAGAUUGGUUGUAGGGGGGUCUUGCUGGAUGCCCUUACUGCUCCCAGCCAUUUUUCGCUGCAAAAAGUAAAGUAUAAAACUAUCAUUAGCCAUAAAAGCAUGACAAAAAUAGCAGGCAACUUAAGAAAAAUGUAAAACAUGUAUUGGUAAAAAAACAAUUGAAAACCCGUGACAACCGCGCAGGCAAGUUUGCAUGCCUCUGCUAGGCAAAAACCAUGAAAAUGCCAGGCAUCUGGCUAGCUAAGGAUGCCAAUAUCAAAAUGGAAAUGUCGUAUCUAUGCAUGAGCUAAGCAGGCUUCUUGUUACUACCCUCCUGUGCCAGCAAGUUUUUUAUCGUCAUCACAUCCAGCUAGAGGAUACAUGCUACUCCUAGUGUGAUAUUGGCAUCGCAUAAAUUUUGCCAGGCCAACUCUCUCUCUCUCUUUCAGUAUAACACUAGGAAUCUAUAUAGGUCAAUGCUUUUAGGCGACCUAUUUUAUUCACCAUGCGAAGCCCUCUUCAAAAGAUCAAAGCAUCAAAAAUAUGUGAAGCACAUGUGUGGUAAUUAAAUGAGAACAAGGAGCACCUAUGUACAGGCAAGUUGGUAUGCAUCUGCUAGGCAAAAGCAAUGUAAACGUCAGGCAAAACUGGUAAGCCACUACUUCAAACUCUAUGGUAAGUAAAAGAAAACAAGGAGCACCUAUGUACAGGAAAGUUGGUAUGCAUCUGCUAGGCAAAAGCAAUGUAAACGUCAGGCAAAACUGGUAAGCCACUACUUCAAACUGUGUAGUAAUUAAAAGAAAACAUGGAGCACCUAUGUACAGGCAAGUUGGUAUGCAUCUGCUAGGCAAAAACAAUAUAAACGUCAGGCAAAACUGGUAACCCACUACUAAACUGGCAACAAACUGAUCAGUGAAAACUCGAAUAUAUCUAACUGAAAUCAUGGGAUGAAUCAAAAAACGCCAGGAUAUCUCAUAUAUAUCUAACUACCAGAUCAAACUAGCAAUAAAUAAGAGCAUCCCCUGGCAAAAAAGCACUCUAGAACAGGCAAAACUACUGCAAACAUCAACUUAGCCACAAAACAAAUUUCUCGUACAAGUUCUCGCACAUUCUCCUCACAUUUCUCCCGAAUCUCUACCGCGCCAGAGGAUAUUGACCCUUGCAAACACGCAACCGCCCCCGAAGGAGAGUAACCAGGGAAAAAUUGAGCUCCUCCAUCAUCCCUCAUUUCUCGCGCAUCUUCGCAUCCACUCUCGUAGAACCACCCCCAAUUGAACAGUCGAACGCUAGCACAUAGACGAAAAAUUGCAGAAAACCAGUGAGAUGAAGAGGUGGGGAACGAGAUGAUUACCGGCGUUUUGCAGUCGAUUUGCUCUUCCUCCACAAAUCACAGCAUCCCCUCUCCUGCCUACGCCCUCCUGCUUCACAACCGCUCGCCUGGAGAUCCCGACCGCUGACGCCGCCGCAACCUUGGACGUCGCCGCCGCAACAACUGCUCCGCCCCUCGCGCGGAAAUGCUCCCCAACAAGUGGAAUCGACGGGUGGAAGAGAGAAAACGCAGAACGAAUAGUGCGGAAUCGCUGGAUUCGUCGCCAGAUAUUGAGAACGGGGAGAGAGGAACGGCGGUUUCCGUGAGAGUGGGGAGGCGGUGGAAAGCGGGAAUGGUAGCGUGCGACGUGGGUGAUGAGGGAACGUGGACUAGUUGUUGCGGGUGUAUUACGGGCCGGGCCGACCGGACGACACCUGAAAAAAAAAGUGAGCCAACCGCGACACACCUGCGCACGCGAUCCAGAUCGGACGACGCAGAAGCGUGUGCGCUCG
rnacentral:lncRNA from 1 species